rnacentral:rRNA from 1 species
AGCGAACGCUGGCGGCAGGCCUAACACAUGCAAGUCGAACGAACCUUUCGGGGUUAGUGGCGGACGGGUGAGUAACACGUGGGAACGUGCCUUUAGGUUCGGAAUAACUCAGGGAAACUUGUGCUAAUACCGAAUGUGCCCUUCGGGGGAAAGAUUUAUCGCCUUUAGAGCGGCCCGCGUCUGAUUAGCUAGUUGGUUGAGGUAAUGGCUCACCAAGGCGACGAUCAGUAGCUGGUCUGAGAGGAUGAUCAGCCACAUUGGGACUGAGACACGGCCCAAACUCCGAGGGGAGGCGGCAGGGGGGAAUCUUGCGAAAGGGGCAAAAGCCGGACACAGCCAUGCCGGGUGAAGGAGAAAGGUCUUGGGAUUGAAAAAUUCUUUCACGGGGGACGAUAAUGAGGGAACCGGAAGAAGAAGCCCCGGCAAACUUCGUC